rnacentral:ncRNA from 2 species
AGUUAUCAAAGAGGUUGCAACCAACAUGAGUCACGUGAAUGAGUCCGCCAAGGAUGUUGAAUUGACGUAAAAGGGACGGUUGCCGAAGUGUUAUUCUUGGCAGAAUAAUACUGGGCUAACAAUUAAUAGUUGUUAGACUGUCACGCAACGUGAUGUGCUUUGAAAAGU